rnacentral:rRNA from 1 species
UACGUAGGCAGCAAGCGUUGCUCGGAAUUACUGGGCGUAAAGAGUGUGUAGGCGGUGCUCUAAGUUCGGUGUGAAAUCUCCUGGCUUAACUGGGAGGGUGCGCCGGAAACUGGAGUGCUCGAGCGUGGGAGAGGAAAGCGGAAUUCCUGGUGUAGCGGUGAAAUGCGUAGAUAUCAGGAGGAACACCUGCGGUGUAGACGGCUUUCUGGACCAUUGCUGACGCUGAGACACGAAAGCGUGGGUAGCAAACAGG